AUUGCACGCUGGCGGCAGGCUUAACACAUGCAAGUCGAGCGGGGGAAGGUAGCUUGCUACCGGACCUAGCGGCGGACGGGUGAGUAAUGCUUAGGAAUCUGCCUACUAGUGGGGGACAACACCUCGAAAGGGAUGCUAGUACCGCAUACGUCCUACGGGAGAUAGCAGGGGAUCUUCGGAUCUCGCGCUAAUAGAUGAGCCUAAGUCGGAUUAGCUAGUUGGUGGGGUACAGGCCUACCAAGGCGACGAUCUGUAGCGGGUCUGAGAGGAUGGUCCGCCACACUGGGACUGAGACACGGCCCAGACUCCUACGGGAGGCAGCAGUGGGGAAUAUUGGACAAUGGGGGGAACCCUGAUCCAGCCAUGCCGCGUGUGUGAAGAAGGCCUUAUGGUUGUAAAGCACUUUAAGCGAGGAGGAGGCUACUCUAGUUAAUACCUAGGGAUAGUGGACGUUACUCGCAGAAUAAGCACCGGCUAACUCUGUGCCAGCCGCCGCAGUAA
rnacentral:rRNA from 1 species